GCUGUAAUCCUGAAACAGAGAUUUACAUAACUCCAGCCCAACCCGCUGCUGCGGCAGGUGUGGCUCACAGUGUGCUGGGUUAGUUCUGCUGGCAGUAUCUACACACAACAGCUCUUAUUUCAAAAGGAAUACCAGCAUUCAUUCUGGAGUAAAACAUGGGGCUUUCGGUUCCUCAAAUCCCAUUGGUCCAUACGCUCUGUUGUCUUCUGCCUUGAGUUCUCCCUGGCAAGGAGCAGGAACCACCACACACUGCCUCCAGGAAGUUCUCUGUGACUGUAGUCACAGGAAGCACUGAAGAGCGGCCUGCCUUCAGGACUUGAGGGUCAAAGCAGCUGUAUUCAUCAACCAAAAAGAGAAACACAUAUUUGCAUCGUACAGAAGGACAUCCCACAUCAAGGAGACACUGCAGAGAUAUCCAGAUUAGAAGUCUCCAUGGCGACUGCUUCUGAUCUGCCCAGAGUCCCUCACAGGAACCACUUGCAGAUGAUACCUACUGUAGGUAUCCAGGGCCAGAGUAUGUUUCUUUCACUGGCUGGUCUC
rnacentral:lncRNA from 1 species